GCCUUCGGGGUGAAGUGGACAGCACGCUCGACGCGUAUUCGAGAGGUCCUUGGUUCAAGUCCCGGCGAAGGCA
rnacentral:tRNA from 1 species